rnacentral:rRNA from 1 species
UACGGGGGGAGCAAGCGUUGUUCGGAUUUACUGGGCGUAAAGGGCGCGUAGGCGGCUCGCCAAGUCGGGGGUGAAAUCUUUCGGCUCAACCGGAAAAGUGCCUUCGAUACUGGCGGGCUGGAGGGAGGUAGGGGCAUGUGGAACUUCCGGUGGAGCGGUGAAAUGCGUUGAUAUCGGAAGGAACGCCGGUGGCGAAAGCGACGUGCUGGACCUCUUCUGACGCUGAGGCGCGAAAGCUAGGGGAGCGAACGGG